AUUUGAUGGAAAACCAGUUAUUGUUUGGUGGCAAAACAGUUGUUCUUGGUGGAGAUUUUCGGCAAACUAUACCAAUUGUUCGAAGGGGUUCUCGUGAAGAGAUAUUGGAUGCUUGUUUGGUAUAUUCAUCCAUAUGGCUUCUUUUUCGAAAAAUUCAUUUGACACAGAAUAUGCGGGCAAUGGAGGAUCCUGUUUUUACAGAUUUGUUAUUGAGGGUUGGUGAAGGCAUAGAGCCAAAUGUUCGUGCUGAUUAUAUUAAUCUUCCUGAAGAUAUGUGCCUUCCUUACCAUGGUUCAGAUUCGCCUCUUGACACACUGGUCAAUGAAAUAUUUCCGUCGUUUGAUGCAUAUUCUAGCGGUUCUUCGAGCCUUAUAAAUACCGCUAUUUUAACUCCUAAAAAUGAAUGUAUGGGAGAAAUUAAUGAAUCAUUGAUUGGAAAAUUCCCAGGCAAUAUGGUUGAAUAUGUUAGCACGGAUUAUGCAAACGAUCCAAGCCAGCAACAAUACUAUCAAGAUUAUAUGAAUGCAAUUAGUGUUGGUUCAUUGCCACCACAUGUUCUUAAAUUAAAGGUUAACUGUCCAGUUAUGUUACUUCACAACUUAAAUCCAUUGGAGGGGUUGUGUAAUGGAACACGUUUAAUUGUGCGUGAUCUUGGUAGGCACGUGAUCGGAGCCGUCAUUGCUGUAGGGACUCAUUCUGGUGAAUAUGUUUUAAUCCCAAGGAUUCCAUUGGAGUUGGAUGAUACACACAUAUGUCCAAUUACUUUUAAGAGGCUACAAUUUCCGCUAAGAUUGUGUUUUGCAAUCAGCAUCAACAAAUCUUAAGGACAAACAUUGGAUCGUGUCGGUGUUUAUUUGCCUCAUCCUGUUUUUUCACAUGGACAGCUAUAUGUUGCUUUAUCAAGGGUCAGAACAUCAAGUUCAAUAAAAUUCUUAAUUCGACCGCCAGUUGCUGAUAUGGAUUCAACAUGUGAAACAAGAAAUGUUGUGUACACUGAAAUUUUGCAUGCGGCGACAUGAUGAUAAAUCUGGGUACUUUGUAGAAGGCAGGUUGUCAAGAAAUGGAAGAGCGUUUGAUUCCAAUGAAUGAGAUUCUCCCAGGAACGAAGGAAUGGAAAUGCAAGGUGAGAGUGAUCAAGAAGCAAGAACCUAAGCAAGCUAACAAUAAUCCUAAUAAAUUUCAGAAAUUAAUCUUGGGUGAUGGCUUGGGCCACACUCUUGAUGCCGUGAUAUUCCAUGAUAAUAUAGAUAGGUUCAAACAUGUGCUUCAAGAGGGUAAUGUUUACAUGGUGAAAGGAGCCUAUGUUUCUGAUCCAAAGCAAUACAGGAAUCCAAUUGUGACAUGUAAUUACCAAUGGACGUUCAGAAAAGAUACUUCGGUGAAUGAAGAACCAAAUGAUUUGAUACCUGCUGGUGGA